ACGCUCGACACCUACGGGGGGCAGCAGUGGGGAAUAUUGCACAAUGGAGGAAACUCUGAUGCAGCGACGCCGCGUGAGGGAAGAAGGUCUUCGGAUUGUAAACCUCUGUUGUCAGGGACGAUGAUGACGGUACCUGACGAGGAAGCCACGGCUAACUACGUGCCAGCAGCCGUGGUAAUCUGAGCGGGCUGGCAAGGC
rnacentral:rRNA from 1 species